GCAGUGAGCCCGCUGCCAGUGCUCUGGGCUCCAUCAGGCCUCAGCUCGCCAGAGGCGCCUGAGAACUGAACCCGGGCCCCAAGGAGGGCUUGGGGAGGGAGGACCUCGAGUGUCCACUCAGGGAGGCCAAGCUGGGGCCUGUGUGGCCUGGGCAAAGUCCCAGUGCUGCCCUGAAGCCUUGUUCACCUUGUCCCUGGAGCCCCUCUGGCCACCCACAGACGAGGCAGGGAAG